rnacentral:tRNA from 1 species
GCCUUCAUGGUGUAGUGGUCAGCACACUUGACACGCAACCAAGAGGUCCAUGGUUCGAUUCCCGGAGAAAGCA